rnacentral:lncRNA from 1 species
CUUAAAAGCCAGGCUUGCUUUCCUGCCUUAAGGAGGUGCAGUAGAACUUAGAAGCCACCAGAUGUCACUAUUGCAGAUAGCAUUCCAAAUUCCCCAGCUUGCAUCUGAUACCAUCAGUGCAGUACGAGUUGACAGGCUCCAAGAAGUCAUCUAAACUGUCCCUCCUGACAGGAAGCCACAGUGAACAGCUGCUGUCACUCAAUUGGAAAAAGAAUGAUGAAUAAUUUUAAAUGAUUUUCCUACAGGAACUCAUUAUACAAUGACAAAUGGAGGCAGCAUUAACAGUUCUACACAUUUACUGGAUCUUUUGGAUGAACCAAUUCCAGGUGUUGGUACAUAUGAUGAUUUCCAUACUAUUGACUGGGUGCAAGAAAAAUGUAAAGACAGAGAAAGGCAUAGAUGGGCUGGAGUGCAGUGGCGUGAUCUUGGCUGACUGCAACCUCCACCUCCUGGGUUCAAGCAAUUCUCCUGCCUCAGCCUCCUGAGUAGCUGGGACUACCGACGUGCAUCACCAUGCCUGGCUAGUUUUUAUACAAAAUACAUUUUUAAAAAAAUAAAAAAUGUGUAUAUUUUUUGAGACCAAGUCUCAUUCUGUUGCCCAGGCUGGAGUGCAGUGGUGUAAUCUUGGCUCACUGCAACCUCUGCCUCCCAGGUUCAAGCGAUUCUUAUACUCAGCCUCCCAAGUAGCUGGAAUUACAGGUGUGUGCCAUCAUGCCAAGCUACUUUUAGUAUUUUUAGUAGAGAUGGGGUUUCACCAUGUUGGCCAGCUAGUCUCAAACUCCUGGCCUCCAGUGAUUCGCUGACCUCAGCCUCCCAAAGUAGAAAAUCUUUUUGAAAAAUAAAAUUCCAAAUCUCAAAA